rfam:Ovis aries breed Texel chromosome 2, whole genome shotgun sequence.
UCCCAAGUGGCUCAAAAGGUAAAGAAUCUGCCUGCAAUGCAGGAGACCUGGGUUUGAUCCCUGGAUUGGAAA